rnacentral:rRNA from 1 species
UACGGAGGGUGCAAGCGUUAUUCGGAAUUAUUGGGCGUAAAGGGCGCGUAGGCGGCUAGAUGUGUCAAAGGUGAAAUCCCUCGGCUCAACUGAGGAACUGCCUUUGAAACUGUCUGGCUUGAGGCCGGGAGAGGGUAGCGGAAUUCCCAGUGUAGCGGUGAAAUGCGUAGAUAUCGAGAGGAACACCUGCGGCGAAGGCGGGUUGCUGGGCUGAUACUGACGCUGAGGCGCGAAAGCCAGGGGAGCGAACGGG